UACGAAGGGGGCUAGCGUUGCUCGGAAUCACUGGGCGUAAAGGGUGCGUAGGCGGGUCUUUAAGUCAGGGGUGAAAUCCUGGAGCUCAACUCCAGAACUGCCUUUGAUACUGGAGAGCUUGAGUCCGGGAGAGGUGAGUGGAACUCCGAGUGUAGAGGUGAAAUUCGUAGAUAUUCGCAAGAACACCAGUGGCGAAGGCGGCUCACUGGCCCGGUACUGACGCUGAGGUGCGAAAGCGUGGGGAGCAAACAGG
rnacentral:rRNA from 1 species